ACGGAGGAUCCGGGCGUUAUCCGGAAUUACUGGGUUUAAAGGGUGCGUAGGCGGGGCUUUAAGCGGGCGGGGAAAGCCAGCGGCCAAACCGUGGGAAGGCGGUUGGGACUGGGGCUCUUGGAUACGGUCGGGGGGGGUGGAACUCGUGGUGUAGCGGUGAAAUGCAUAGAUAUCACGAGGAACGCCGGUAGCGAAGGCAGCUCGCCGGGCCGGUAUUGACGCUGAGGCACGAAAGCGUGGGGAUCGAACAG
rnacentral:rRNA from 1 species